rnacentral:lncRNA from 1 species
UUUCCGAAAUUAAUUAAAACUUUUUUUCCAUUUGAAGUUUAAUGUACUGGGGUAGAUAAAUGUUCGUGCUGUUUCUUGAAAACCUGUGGGAUCCACUCUCAAUAAAGCGAAAAUCUAUUAGCAUUCUGUAUGCAUCUGCGGCAUAAAUUUCAUUUGAAUUUCAAAUUUAAUAAACCAGGAGGUUUUUAAUCAUCCCUGGUUUUAUUUGUUUGAUAUUAACAUGCUUAUUGACCGGGUCUGUUGACCAGUUUGAUCAUUACAGGACAGCAAAAAGUUAAUUAAAACGACCACAGCUCCUUAAUCAUAUCAUCUGUCUCAUCCAUGUCGCUCCCUUUAUUACAGGCUAUGAUGGAUUGUCUCCCAGAUUAAUUUCUCUGUUUCUUCGAUUUGGACAACAGCUUUGGGGACCUAAUUUACAUCCUGGGAACAACUUGCUCAAGUGUACCGAACACCUUGUGUCUACGGUAUACAUUAGCAAUCUCAGAACUUUACCGGCAAGGAUAGCUUUCGGUAACCCUUUCCUCGGACCAGAACAAUGGCCCCGUGAGACGCCCAGUACCCUGAUAAUCAAAUACAUAAGUGCCCCUAAGGGUUAGCUGCCUGUAUACCAUGUGCUUUAGAGGGGGGCUCUUUCUGUUUGAUACAAUGAAAAUAUAGUUCCUCUCCGGCUAUUUCAGAAGGACAUAGCUGGAAAGGAUUUAAUCUAAAUAAUGAACAAAUCACACCUGGAAGAUGCGCCUGAGAUGCAACUACAAAUUGGUGAAUUGGUGUUGCCCAAUUUCUUACUGAUUUGCCCCUUCAUGACCAGAAGCAAAUCCAGGUGCCCACAGAGGGGAAUAAUCUUGCGAAUCCUGGUUAAAAACACCAGGAUAUAAGAGAGGAGUUCCUGCCUUCUUUGAAAGAGUAGCUCUACAUCUGUCAUUCCAUUCACUAGUGUGGCCCAAAAUCAAGGAGACUACAGCUGUCCUGUUCCUUUCAGAUACUGCUGGGAUAUAGAGGUAGGAGGAUUGAGUAUUUGGUCAUCAUGUUCAUCAUGCAUUAAGCAAGCUACUACAA